AGCGAACGCUGGCGGCAGGCCUAACACAUGCAAGUCGAGCGAGGACUUCGGUCCUAGCGGCGGACGGGUGAGUAACGCGUGGGAACGUGCCCCUUGGUACGGAAUAGCCCCGGGAAACUGGGAGUAAUACCGUAUGAGCUCUACGGAGGAAAGAUUUAUCGCCAAGGGAUCGGCCCGCGUUGGAUUAGGUAGUUGGUGGGGUAAUGGCCUACCAAGCCGACGAUCCAUAGCUGGUUGGAGAGGAUGAUCAGCCACACUGGGACUGAGACACGGCCCAGACUCCUACGGGAGGCAGCAGUGGGGAAUCUGAGACAAUGGGCGCAAGCCUGAUCUAGCCAUGCCGCGUGAGCGAUGAAGGCCUUAGGGUUGUAAAGCUCUUUCAGCGAGGAAGAUAAUGACUGUACUCGCAGAAGAAGCCCCGGCUAACUCCGUGCCAGCCGCCGCCGUAACAC
rnacentral:rRNA from 1 species